rnacentral:rRNA from 1 species
UGCAGUCGACGAUGACGCCAGCUUGCUGGGUGGAUUAGUGGCGAACGGGUGAGUAACACGUGAGUAACCUGCCCUUGACUCUGGGAUAAGCGCUGGAAACGGCGUCUAAUACCGGAUACGACCUGCCCCGGCAUCGGGUGCGGGUGGAAAGUUUUUCGGUCAAGGAUGGACUCGCGGCCUAUCAGGUAGUUGGUGAGGUAAUGGCUCACCAAGCCGACGACGGGUAGCCGGCCUGAGAGGGUGACCGGCCACACUGGGACUGAGACACGGCCCAGACUCCUACGGGAGGCAGCAGUGGGGAAUAUUGCACAAUGGGCGAAAGCCUGAUGCAGCAACGCCGCGUGGGGGAUGACGGCCUUCGGGUUGUAAACCUCUUUUAGUAGGGAAGAAGGGCUUCGGCUUGACGGUACCUGCAGAAAAAGCACCGGCUAACUACGUGCCAGCAGCCGCGGUAAUACGUAGGGUGCAAGCGUUGUCCGGAAUUAUUGGGCGUAAAGAGCUCGUAGGCGGUUUGUCGCGUCUGCUGUGAAAACCCGAGGCUCAACCUCGGGCCUGCAGUGGGUACGGGCAGACUAGAGUGCGGUAGGGGAGAAUGGAAUUCCUGGUGUAGCGGUGGAAUGCGCAGAUAUCAGGAGGAACACCGAUGCGAAGGCAGUUCUCUGGGCCGUUACUGACGCUGAGGAGCGAAAGCGUGGGGAGCGAACAGGAUUAGAUACCCUGGUAGUCCACGCCGUAAACGUUGGGAACUAGAUGUGGGGACCUUUCCACGGUCUCCGUGUCGCAGCUAACGCAUUAAGUUCCCCGCCUGGGAGUACGGCCGCAAGGCUAAAACUCAAAGGAAUUGACGGGGGGCCCGCACAAGCGGCGG